UUAAUUUUUAGCUACAACUCAACUGGGGAUACUUUUCAGGCCUUAUCUGCAGUAUUUGAUUAUAUAGGGAAAACUUCCUCUUGACAUUUACUCUUUUCUUAUACUGUUCUUCAGUUUCUGUUGUUUUUCUCCAUUUCAAACAGUCCUUUUUCAGUCUUCUUAAUGACCUUCUCUUUCUCCAUUCAUCCCUUAAGUUGAUGCACCCAAAGUCUUGAUCACUGGCUGUAACAAAGAAAGGAGACAAUGCUCGUUGCUUGCCCGUGUCUGUUGCAUUCCCAUGCUAUCUGAGCAUCCAUUUUUCCUUCCUCCUGACCAACAGAACCUGUUUUAAACUGAGUCCAUUGUUCAACACCUUAAGAGUUCUGUCCUUUCUUGCAUCAGGAUGUGAUCAUGUGACUGGGUGACCAGCUGUUCCUGUUUGCCUGGGUUGGAGGGGCUUUCAGGGCCGAGAGACUUUCUGUAGUAAGACUGGGAAAAUUCGGGCAAACCUGGAUGAAUUCGUGACUUCACAUCUGACUGACUUCUAGCCGCUGGUCCAUGAAAGAAAUGUCCUGUGGGGCACAGCUUUCUCUUUAAAAGAGAGUGGGCGUGCCCUCUUCCUCCUGCCCGAACAGGUAUCGGAGCUCCAGCUGCAUCUUGGAACUUGAGUGGACCUUGAGGAAGUAGAGCAAGGAAACGAGGUAACACACAUCUGAUGACUGGGACAAAGGCGCACUGCCUAAAUCUGGGACAUCUCCGAGGAGCCAUCCCUGCUCCAGAGGUCCCCAAAGGAUUGGCUUCCACCUCUGCUGAACAGCAUCGCAGUUCAGUCUCUGCCUCAUCUUCCUUCCCUGUUUGCUCGGGGUUCUUUUAUCGAGCACUGCCUAACAAGGUUGCUGAACGCUAUCUCCAUCUUAGGAUGGAGUCAGAGAAUUUGACCUAAGGCAAUUUGUUAUCCAACUGUCUUUUAACUUGUCUUGGUGUCAGAAAGUUCCUGGCUGUGCUGGUGACACACGAUGAACACGAUGGGCUAGGGACGACUGUAUGGACGUCAUGGACAAAGGCAAGG